rnacentral:rRNA from 1 species
GACAGAGGGUGCAAACGUUGUUCGGAAUUACUGGGCGUAAAGCGCGUGUAGGCGGCUAUGCAAGUCGGAUGUGAAAGCCCUCGGCUCAACCGGGGAAGUGCACCCGAAACUGCAAAGCUAGAGUCUCGGAGAGGAUCGUGGAAUUCUCGGUGUAGAGGUGAAAUUCGUAGAUAUCGAGAGGAACACCCGUGGCGAAGGCGGCGAGCUGGUCCAUUACUGACGCUGAGGCGCGACAGCGUGGGGAGCAAACAGG